CAUCGCUUAUAACCUAAUUUCUUUCACUUAGCUUCUCAAUCUCAACUGCAUACGCAUUCGAUUCAGGCUACCAUAGAGGCAUAGAAACAAUUUCACCAAAGCUAUUUCACCUAAACUCACGGAUUUCUCAUAAAAAAUUGAUUGGUGGGUUUUAGGUUAUCCAGUUUUGUGGUUUAUUUUUCGGAGGAGAGAGAAAGUGAGCAGUUGCAGCAUCAACAACAAAAAAUUGAAGGUUAUCUGACAAGAACGAUGAGGAGAAUAGGGAACAAAUCGAUAGCGCGAACUUGUACUUUCCAUCGAAAAGCUUCUUAUCUUGAAAAGGUUCGAUUGUUUUGUCCCUAAUUUGGUUUUUUUUUGGGGUUUAUACGGGAUUUUUGAUGUCAGUUUUCUGUAUUUGUUUAAUUAUGUCAUUUUUGUUUAAAAUUGUGUUUUUGUGCUAGUUUUUGCUCGGAAUGUUGAUGGGGUUUUGUUAUCUGCUAAUGGGUAGUCAGGAUUAACGGAUUUGUGUGUGCAUGUGGAUUGUUUUGAAGUUUAAUUGACUUGAUUUAUGUGGAAUUUGUGCUCAAAUUAACUACUUGCUAUUUGUAUAAUCGUUUUGUUUGCUUAAACAUAACAAUUUCUUCGAUGGUUUUUAUGUGGGAUUGCCUUAGUGAUGUAAGAUAAAGUGGUUCUCUCUAUGCAAACUUGUGGUGAAAGUUCAUUGACUUUGUAUGCAUAGGAAAUAAUUCGCUUCGUAAGGGGGUUGGAAUUUUGACUCAUUUGUGUAAGAAAAUUAGUGAAUUAACUAAGUCGAAUUGAUUAAUUAGUUAGUGAAUUUGAACGAGGUUGGCUUGAAAAUUGGAUGAGUAGGAUGACCAGCGCUGAUUGGUGGGAAAAGAGAUGCCGUAUUGGCGGUGCUAUGUGGUGGAGAAGAUGUUGUUGGCGCUUAAAGUGUUUGAAGGGGCUGCUGUGAUUAUUUGGACAGUCAAUGGGUGAGCUUGUUGAAAUUUUAGAAUUAUUGUUAUUUUUUGGGAUUUCUUGAUUGAAUUAUAUGUUGAUUCUCCUAUACUUGAGCAUGAUUUAAUUUUAUAAAAAUCUGAUAGCUGAAUUUCAUGUAUACUAUGAUAUUGUCCUGAUUUUUUAGGGAACUGUUGUUAAUCAAGUUAUGUCAGAAAUUUUAAAUUGCAUUGUUUGAGUUGAGAUGAAGAUAAAUUAUGAUUGUGCUGCUUCUUAUAACUUUGUGUUAAUUUCAUUUGCUAAUGUGGGGCUGCUAGGAUUGUUUGGACAGUCAAUAGGGGGAUUGUGGCUCUAAAGGUGCACCUUAAGCAAUCCAAUGCUUGGAAUGACAUUGUUCUAUUGGCACUCAUGUGCAAAAUUGCAGAUGACAUGUACCCUCAUUUGUUGUGACCCAAAUUUUAAUUACAAUAAACAAGUUUUUUCUCAAAUCAAAAAAGGUUACAUGAAGAGAUUUAGCUGAUUUGGCAUUUCGUGAGAGAAAGAAACGACAGAGUAUAAUGUCAUUGCUUACAUGGAUAAAUCGCAUUCGAAGACUGAUAUUUGAGCUGCUUCACACAAAAAAGGAGAUAGGUCGUCGAGUGGAAGAAGACCUUUUAGAUUGCCAGUUUAGAAGUUAUGAUCAAAUUCAAAUUGAAGAACUCUGUGUAGCUCAACAAGUGUAGCAUGUUGAAGGAAUCAACAAAUUUCUGUGCAUAAUUUAUGUGUAUUAGAGUAUUUUGAUUUAUUGUCAUUUUCUUAGAACAUAAUUCUUAAACUGUUAGUUUUAUUACGGUGAUGACCUUGUAAAACUCUUUAUUAGAUCUUGAAUAUUAAUUCAAAAUUACCAUUGUUUUACA